ACGGGGCCCGCACAAGCGGUGGAGCAUGUGGUUAAUUCGACGCUACGCGAAGAACCUUACCUGGGCUUGACAUGUAAGUGGUAAGAACCCGAAAGGGGAUGACUUGGGGAAACUCCUUGAGCUUACACAGGUGCUGCAUGGCUGUCGUCAGCUCGUGUCGUGAGGUGUUGGGUUAAGUCCCGCAACGAGCGCAACCCCUAUUGUUAGUUGCCAUCAUUCAGUUGGGCACUCUAGCGAGACUGCCGGUAAUAAACCGGAGGAAGGUGGGGAUGACGUCAAAUCAUCAUGCCCCUUAUGACCUGGGCUACACACGUGCUACAAUGGUUGGUACAACGAGUUGCGAGUCGGUGACGGCGAGCUAAUCUCUUAAAGCCAAUCUCAGUUCGGAUUGUAGGCUGCAACUCGCCUACAUGAAGUCGGAAUCGCUAGUAAUCGCGGAUCAGCACGCCGCGGUGAAUACGUUCCCGGGCCUU
rnacentral:rRNA from 1 species